GCUUGCCAUCAAAAUGAAGCAGUCGCUCUUGCUCCAUCCCAAUCUAGUAUGAUCUAGUGUUCACCAGACUACUGUCUCAUUACCUACAGGUCUAUUUUAGAAGUUGUGAGUUGGCAAACCACGCGCCACAGGAGGCCUGCACAUGUGUUUUGUUAGACCCAAAACGUUUUUAAAGAAAACAACUCAAACUGGUGGCCAACGUUUCAAAACCAGUAGAUUCCACAUAAAAGUCCAGAUUUCCGGCUUCACUUGAAAAAUCUGAAGAUCCAGCAACACUGGGUUCAUGUUACCCUGUGAGAUAGCAACUGGCGGGACCUGAGCUGAAGCUGCCCCUUCAGGUCUGUAGCUAUCCCUGUUCAGAAGAGAGGCCAUCAUGCAGCAUCUGAAAGGAGGCAGGAUGAGUCAAAAAAAAUCCACAGCGAAGAGGAAAAGUAUGCUGCUUCCCAAAGGCUUAACCCUGGGUACCCCAGGACAACUCCAAAAAGCUUCCUCCGUGUCCACAUCAGCCAUCAGCCCUCCUCCCCCAUCAAUAGACCGAACUUGGAAAAAGCCGCUGAGACACAGGCCUCAGCUUCUGAGCUCGAGCUCUGAGGUGGAAAGGGAGCUUGUCGGGCACUCAGAGGCUACCCAUCUUCACAACCAAACUAAAAAAUGCCAUUCUUGGGUCAGUUCCCAGACACAAACUUAGAACAUUUGACGUACCUGAUUCUGCUUGAUCAUAGCCAAAAAAACUCAGCAGCUUGAGGAGCAGUUUCUCCUCAAUUUGCACCGUGAAUCUCUGAGCUGUGAUCAUCAGAUGCUAGAGAGAAAGAAAUUCUGAUUAAUAGUGUAAACACCAGAAGGAAUUUUCAUCUGUGCCAUUAAGAAGGACACAUCGCCAAAUGAUUUCUGGCUCAUCUCUCUCUACAUUGUCAUCAUUAGCCAAAAAUUCCAGGAGAGGUUUAAUACAGUUUGCCACCCUACUGUUUGGUUUCCAGGGCAUCUGUAUCUCCUUAGUCAGGAUCGCGCUUGCAGAUGGGCUGCGGUGGACAGGGUUAUGGUGCUGAGCUCACAUGGACAGCAGCUAGUUUAAGGAGCAGUAGGAUUGGAGGGCCCCCACUGGUAAUGGUGACAGAGGCCCGAAAUAUGGAAGCAACCUCUUAGCUCCCACUUUUCCAGAAUUUGCUGCCGUUAUCAGCUCACUCAUAUGUGAAAAAUUCUCCAGGAAAGAAAGUUUAUCUCUUUUGAACAACAUGCUUUUAUUAAACAGCGUGUUAGCUUAUGUGGGAGGACAUCUGUCCCGAGGUCAGACCCCUCCUACCACUCCCUUUCUAAUUAUUCUAUUUUAAUAACACAUCUGGAUCAUGCCUGGUCCUGACCAAUCUGGAAGAUGUUAUGCUUUCCCACAGAGACUUUUUACUCUGACAAAUACAGGCUCCGCCCCUACAAACUGGGCACUCUCACAUGCAGUCGAAGCCACAGUUGAGAAUACAAGGUGCUAAGAGCAGUUAUUGUAAAUCCCUCUACACCACGGAGUUAAGUCCACAGGACAACUUCCAGCCACACCCCGCACUGCUGUUCAGGGACUCAGCUGUGAGGGAACCCAUCAGCCUCCUGCCAUCAUGCCAAGCCCACCAGGCUCUCCCCUCAGCCUACCUUGUAGAUGUUGGUCAGUGCGCUCUUACUGGGGAACUUUACUGCAUUCACUUGCACGGCAGGGCCGGUCUCGAUGACCUCAUUCUCGUUGCUCAGGGGAGUCACGUAGAGCAUGAAGGGCUGAGUAGUUCCAAUGAGCUGAUUGUCCACCUGGCACAUGAAAAAGCAGCAAAACAAAACAAGAACAGACAACUGCUCAGUUCUCAGCUACCAUUGAGUGGGGUCUCAUCCUAUGCAGGACACUCAGAGAAAGUACUGCUGCCAUUUUGCUCUAGAAAAAUUCAUUCUGGGAUCCCUGGGUGGCUCAGCAGUUGAGCGCCUGCCUUCGGCCCAGGGCGUGAUCCUGGAGACCCGGGAUUGAGUCCCAUGUCAGGCUCCCUUCAUGGAUCCUGCUUCUCCCUCUGCCUGUGUCUCUGCCUCUCUCUCUCUCUCUCUCUCUCUGUCUGUCUCUCAUGAAUAAAUAAAUAAAACCUUUAAAAGAAAAAAAAAAUUCAUUCUCGCUGCAGAGCAGCACUAAUUGCAGUAGGGAUGGCAACAGAAGCUCUCCUUUAUGAGGUGAGUACUAUGUGCCAAGCACCAAGCUAGCCUGAUGCAGGAGCUGAGUCACAGGACACCUGUCAAGAGUUACUGCAGUCAGGGUCCCACUGCAGCCCUAACCACCGCCUCCUUAUGGCACAGAUGAAGGAGCUGAGGAGAGAGCCCCUUGACCCCAAGCCCAGUGCUCCUGACCACUAGGAUACAGAUGAAUGAAGUGAAGCGACACCAGACCGGGAAAACUAGGGAAUCAGUGCUUGCCUGGCCACCAAAUGCAAAUAGCGGCCUUUCCCAAAGUCGAGUCCCUGUUGGGAAUGAAAUGAUGAAGCGGCAUCAGGCACUGCUCUAUUCGCCCACAGCCGUCAGCACCAUAGCUGAGUGUGCACUCUGCACCGCGCUAUGGUUGUGGACGGCAAAAGGCUCAUGCGGGGAGCACCCACCCCCACUUGCUUGUGUCAAAGCUCCGAAUCAGGAUGAGGGAAGAGAACAUCCGUUGGGAACCUCUGUGUGUACUUCCCACACAUUACUUAGCACAUCCCUUACUACAACCCUAAAGGCUAAGAUUAUUCCUCCCCAUUUUACAAACGAGUAAACAGAAGCUUAGGGAACUCAGAUCACUUGCCCACAUUCACACGGCUAAGUGAAACGGAAGAGUUGGGACUCAAAUGGAGGUGUUUCUGGCCCCAAAUACUGUGACCCUCCCAUUAUGCCACACGGCCUGCCACGCAGCCACCUGUAGAGCCGGCUGGCUCUCAAGCUGCUGAGAUAAGGGUGAGGGACCGUGAACACAUUUUCCUACUUCCAUCCUUGCCCUGAUCGUGUACUCCCUGCACAGCAGCAAAGUGAUCUUUCAAAAAUACAAAUCAAGUCAUGUCCCUCCUCCCUUUACAUCUGUCUGUCAGUGGCUUCCUUUCCUCUUGGGAUGAAACCAAACUUCUCGCCACGCCUCCACAGCCUGCCAUGACACACAGUGCCUACUUCCCCGUCUUUAGCACACAGCACUCCCCUCCAGGUCCACUACAACCCCCACACAUGAGCCUGCUGGCUAUUCCCCAAAAGGGGGGCAACUCUCCUCUCAGAGUCUGAAUUCUGAGGGAAAGCUUCUGACCCUAACAUCCUUCUGCACUCAUUCUCUUCCUUCAAGCUCAGCUCUCACUUCUUCGGGAGGAACUUCCCAGGCCACUUCACCUAAAGAGUAGCACCAUCCUUCUGUAUUCUUUUUAGCAAUUCCCACUGGUGCCAAUCAUUAUACUCGCCUGCUUGGGACCUUACAGGCUGCCUCCUUCCCGAGGCUGUAAUUAGCCCAAAGGAAGCUGAGCCUUCAUCUUCUGAGUCACGGCUGUAUCGCUAGAGCCUAGUGCCAUGCCCGGGGCACUGCUGCUGCUCUAAGAAUUUACUCACUAAAUGAAUGACCUGUCAUAUCCAAUAGAGGAAACACAAAAGUUCUCACCUUACUCUAACCUCUCCUUUAUUCUUUCCCCAAACACAUUUGAUACAAGAUGUAUAAGAGUUAUGAAUUCUAGUUUUAUUCUGCCAAUUAGAUUAGAUGCUCCCUAAGGACGGGACCAUUAUUUUCUAUUUUUAAACGUCCUUUCUCCCAAUGCUGUCAUCAUAGUAAACUCUCAAAUCUGUUUACUUUCUAUGACUUACAGCCCACAUUAAAUCAAGAGGUAUUAUAGCAGAAAAAAAAAUUUUGAUUAAAAAGUUAAUGAAAUUCACAAAGCUCAAAUGGCUCCUUGAAUUUUCUCUCUGAGGUUAAAAAAAAAAAAAGACAAAGAUAAUAACUUUCUAUCUGUCCUCAAUCAAAUGGGAUGUGAUUAGCCUGAACAAUUUGCUCUUUGUGAUAUAAGACAAAAGAAAACAUUUUUCUGAAAGGAGUUUUGGUAUGGACAGCAGUGCAUGGGUCCGCAGGAGGACACCCUGGAGAUGGGCACAGACUGCCCACUUCCAGGAGGAACACAGGGUGCCCACCUGGGGAAAGAACCACAGUCUAGGUCUUUGGAUCCUUCUUCUGGAAAUGUUUACCAGGAACUGGUUUCCUGGACACAUUAAUCCUGCUGGCAGCUGGAAAGAAAAGCUGCAAGCAUGAUGCUACAAACAGAACAGCUGUCUUGACGGCAUGACAACAAAACUCUAGCGGAGGGCAGCGCCGGUGGCCCAGCGGUUUGGCCCAGGGUGUGGUCCUGGAGACCUGGGAUCGGGUCCCGUGUCGGGCUCCCUGCGUGGAGCCUGCUUCUCCCCCUCCCUCUGCCUGUGUCUCUGCCUCUC